rnacentral:rRNA from 1 species
GAUGAACGCUGGCGGCGUGCUUAACACAUGCAAGUCGAACGAAGCACUCUAUUUGAUUUCUUCGGAAUGAUUAUUUUGUGACUGAGUGGCGGACGGGUGAGUAACGCGUGGGUAACCUGCCUCAUACAGGGGGAUAACAGUUGGAAACGACUGCUAAUACCGCAUAAGCGCACAGGACCGCAUGGUCUGGUGUGAAAAAACUCCGGUGGUAUGAGAUGGACCCGCGUCUGAUUAGCUAGUUGGUGGGGUAACGGCCUACCAAGGCGACGAUCAGUAGCCGACCUGAGAGGGUGACCGGCCACAUUGGGACUGAGACACGGUCCAAAACUCCUACGGGAGCAGCAGUGGGGAAUAUUGCACAAUGGGCGAAAGCCUGAUGCAGCAACGCCGCGUGAGUGAAGAAA